GUGAAGUAUUUAGAAAAAAACAGCAGCUGUUGCCCUCGCUUCUGUCGGCCUAUCGACAGUCGCCAAACCAUUAAAAAAUCAUUACAAACAAACGGAACAAUGGGGUUGCACGAACGAAAAAAGGAGAGAGUGCCUCCU
ensembl:ncRNA F29G9.9 ncRNA